ACAUCUUCUCGUCAUCUUCAAUGAUACUAGCAGCCCUCCUUAACUCCCCACCAACCUCGUCCCCCCAGUCAAUAUUCUUUAAGACUUUCUCCUCCUUCCUCUCUCGAGACCUUCCUCUAGACGAUCUGCAGGGGGUUAAACCCUCCUGACAUCCCUUAUCAUACCUACCGCUGCUAGGUUCACCAGCCUCGAAACUCUUCGUUUGCAGCGGCUCCCUCUUAGGUAUACAGUCUUCUUGUUCCUCAUUAAAACCACUC
rnacentral:lncRNA from 1 species